rnacentral:rRNA from 1 species
UGGGGAAUAUUGCACAAUGGGCGCAAGCCUGAUGCAGCGACGCCGCGUGAGGGAUGACGGCUUCGGGUUGUAAACCUCUUUCAGUAGGGAAGAAGCGAAAGUGACGGUACCUGCAGAAGAAGCACCGGCUAACUACGUGCCAGCAGCCGCGGUAAUACGUAGGGUGCGAGCGUUAUCCGGAAUUAUUGGGCGUAAAGAGCUCGUAGGCGGUUUGUCGCGUCUGUCGUGAAAGUCCGGGGCUUAACCCCGGAUCUGCGGUGGGUACGGGCAGACUAGAGUGCAGUAGGGGAGACUGGAAUUCCUGGUGUAGCGGUGGAAUGCGCAGAUAUCAGGAGGAACACCGAUGGCGAAGGCA